AAAUUGAAGAGUUUGAUCAUGGCUCAGAUUGAACGCUGGCGGCAGGCCUAACACAUGCAAGUCGAACGGUAACAGGAAACAGCUUGCUGUUUCGCUGACGAGUGGCGGACGGGUGAGUAAUAUCUGGGAAACUGCCCGAUGGAGGGGGAUAACUACUGGAAACGGUAGCUAAUACCGCAUAACGUCGCAAGACCAAAGAGGGGGACCUUCGGGCCUCUUGCUAUCGGAUGUGCCCAGAUGGGAUUAGCUAGUAGGUGGGGUAACGGCUCACC
rnacentral:rRNA from 1 species